rnacentral:misc_RNA from 1 species
UCCGGUUUAACACCGGCAGUCUCCCUAGAGUCCCCGGCAUGACCCGCUGGCAACUAGGGACAAGGGUUUCGCUCGUUAAGGGACUUAACCCGACAUCUCACGACACGAGCUGACGACAGCCAUGCACCACCUGCACACAGGCCACAAGGGAACCGACAUCUCUGCCGGAAUCCUGUGCAUGUCAAGCCUAGGUAAGGUUCUUCGCGUUGCAUCGAAUUAAGCCACAUGCUCCGCCGCUUGUGCGGGCCCCCGUCAAUUCCUUUGAG